rnacentral:rRNA from 1 species
UAAGUUAAUAGUGAAAGCGUUCGGCUCAACCGGAUAUACAUUAUUAAAACUACAAAGCUAGAGGAUGAGAGAGGUUAUUGGAAUUCCCAGUGUAGGAGUGAAAUCCGUAGAUAUUGGGAGGAACACCGAUGGCGUAGGCAGAUAACUGGCUCAUUCCUGACACUAAGGCACGAAAGCGUAGGUAGCAAACGGGAUUAGAUACCCCGGUAGUCUACGCUGUAAACGAUGGAUGCUA